GGAGGAGGGAGCCGCUCACAGAGCGCACAAGUUCCGAUGGGAGUAUCGUCUGUGUUGUGUGGCAUCUUGUGCCAUAUGUAAGCUGCCCCAAGUCCCUUUGGGAAGAUGUGUUACAGACUGAUGAAGAUAAAUGGAAGCUCUUACGUGUGCCUGUGAUCCAGAGUCACUCGCAGAACAAUAACAUGCCACUCAGGUUUGCAGAACAAAAAUAUAGAAACUUUACUGAUUCUAAGAGAUCAAAACACUAAAACAGUAGUAUUCACAAUGGUCCCUCUGAUCACUUACAGAAUUCUACAGUCUUAAAUAGUCCUUUCUCAGUCCACAAAUCUGCUUCAGAGAAGAAUACAGUCCUGGUUCUUCACCCCUCUUUUCUCAUCAGCAAACAGGCCUCAAAAUAGCAAGGCCUCUUUGAGUAUACACUGCUCUCUAUCAGUACUCAAAAUAUACUCUCAUCCAACACUUAAAAUUAAUAUCACAUUGCAACAUUUGACAACAUGUUCUACUGAUAAUGUAGUGUACGUACUACAAUGCCCAUGUAAAUUACUUUAUAUUGCAAUAACUACCAGACCCCUUAAAACUAGGAUAAGCGAACAUCAUUCACGCAUAAGAAAUGGGUCCACUGACUCUUCACUGUAUGUACACUUUAACGAAAAAGCCCAUAUGUACUAUAGCUUUAAAUUUUGCGCUUUGGAAAAAGUAUUGCCCAGACCAAAUGCAGAUGUAAGAAAACUUCUUCUACAAAGAGAGUCCUUUUGGAUUUUUAAACUACAAACUCUAUUUCCUCAGGGGCUAAAUGAUAGAAUCGAAUACACCUGCUUUCUGUAGUAUGUUCCUUACUUAAGAAGCAUCCUGGUAAUCUUUCAUUUGCUCGUUAUAGAACUCCACUUCAAACAGAGCCGGUAUCAUAGAUAAGAAUCAUACUGAGUACAACUUGAUUAAAAAACACAACACCCGAGGAAGUGAAAACGAAACAAGGGAAACAUCCCGGGGAGACCUUGUUGUGUGUAUAUCAUUUCCUGGUAUUGCUAUCUACACGAAGAAUUCCUUUGAACGUGUAUCAUUUCUUGGAAUUACAAACCAAAAGAAGAAUUCCUUUGAACAUAAUAACUUUAUUUUGGAGACUGAAAACCUUACUUCAAGUGAUAAAGACCAAAGACUCCACGCAACUCCAGGAAACAUAUUGACUGGUUGUCUCUUUAUGUCCUUCAAUAAUAUUUGAUGUCAAGAUUAUAACAUGAAAUUAUAACAUUGUGGAUGAUAUUUUGAAAACUAUUAUUUUGAUGAAAAAUACUAGAGCUGUUAGAAUAUUGAUUUGUAUUAUAAAUUGUGGGAAUCUGUAAGUGUGUAUACACAUACACUUUGCUCUACUCUAUCAGUACUCAGCCAGCACUGAAAAACUUGUCCAAACCUGUUCUGCAGCAGCAGAACAGAAACAGCACCAAAAUCAAUCCCCAGAUCUUUGCAGGUUCAGCCAAUCGGCUUCAUGCACUUCAUUUUUCAGUUAACACACACAAACCAUGACAAGAUGGAGACAGGGUACAAAAAGAAAGUUAUUAUUAUCCACAUUAUCUGAUUUGAACUGGCUUAUUUUAGUCUACACUGCCAGAUAAUCCAGUUCAAAGCAGACAAUGUGGAUUUUAUACAGCUAUAGUAGAGUCUCACUUAUCCAACAUAAACGGGCUGGCAGAAUGUUGGAUAUGCAAAAAUGUUGGAUAAUAAGGGAUUAAGGAAAAGUCUUAUAAUUUUACAAAGUAAGCACCAAAAUAUGUUUUACAACAAAUCGACAGAAAAAACAGUUCAAUACAUGAUAACUUUAUGUAGUAAUUACUGUAUUUACAAAUUUAGCACCAAAACAUCGCAAUGUAUUGAAAACAUUGACUACAAAAACAUUGGCUACCAACAAAUUGACUACAAAAUACGAUAAAAUUGCAUAAAAUGAGCUUACAGUAACAACAUUGUUGGAAAUUAAAUGCGUUAAAAGUUUAGUCCUUGCUACCUAGAGAAACAGCUGUGGAUCUGGGUGGGAGGCAGAUUGUGUUGAAUAAUCCAGAACGUUGGAUAAGCGCAUAUUGGAUAAGUGAAACACUGCUGUAUGUAGAAGGGGCCUCAGUCGCUGGUUACGAGCCCCCAGAUGGCGUGGUGGACUAAGUGACUUGAAGGUUGGGUUGCUGACCUGAAAGCUGCCAGGUUCGAAUCCCACCUGGGGAGAGUGUGGAUGAGCUCCCUCUAUCAGCUCCAGCUCCAUGCGGGGACACGAGAGAAGCCUCCCACAAGGAUGGAAAAAACAUCCGGGCGUCCCCUGGGCAACGUCCUUGCAGACGGCCAAUUCUCUCACUCCAGAAGCAACUCCGGUUGCUCCUGACACGAAAAAAAAAAAGUCGCUGGUUUAGUAUAUCAGCCAGUGGUUUGUUGUUUGUUUUUUUUUGGGGGGGGGAGGGUUGAUCUUAUCAAUAUUUUCCUUAUAGUGGGACCAUGUGGUCAUAUUUACUCCCAAACACCUGCCAUGGGUGAAUUUAUUUAUUUUUAUUCUGUUAUCGCUUGAGGAAAUGGAAUUAAUAAUGUUUGAAAGAUGCAGCCAAUGUUGUGAUUAUGUCUUUGCACUUGAUACGUACCAGGAAGUCAGUGCCUGUGAACUCCAUAGAAGUGACUUCUGAGUAAAUGUGCUCAGGUUGAGCCUGUUAGUCGUGAAUCAAUGAAUAUAAAACCUAUUUUAGGGUGCAUCUAAACUGCGGAAUUAAUGCAGAGUGAUACUGCUUUAACUGCCAUGCCUCAAUGCUGUGGAGUUUUAGUGUUACGAGGUCUUCAGCCUUCUUUGCCAAAUAGUCUUGGUACCUCACCAAAUGACACGAUUUCAUACAGUUGAGCAAUAACAGUUGAAGUGGUGUCAAACUUAAUUAAUUCUACAAUGUAGAUGCACCCCUAGUUAUACUUAUUUAUAUUUUUUUCUUUUCUCCCAGGAUGACACCUGUGGUGACUCACAACGGAGCAAACUUUCCCUGUGUUGCAAACAGAACCCAGCCAACAUCAGGUGUGGACCAAACUCGGCACGCAGACCCAACAUGGCUGACUGUGAAUACUGGCACGGUUUCAGGGUGAUUGCCCUGGGAAUCUGGGAGUUGUACUUCACCUCUACCUAGAGAACACUGAAUCCAGCAGAUGACGGAUCUGGACCACAUUUGGCACACAGACUCAACAUGGCCAACUGUGAAUACUGGAGGAGUUUUGGGUGGAUUGACCCAAGAUUUUUGGGAAUUGUAGUUAAGCCACAUCCUUUUUAAAAAGUAAUGUUUAUUAAAUAAAAAUUGUAUUUACAUAGGAGAAAAGGAAAAAGUAGAUUGGGGAGUAUAUAGAGAAAAAGGUGGGAAGGGAAGGGAGGUGGGUAGGGGUAUGGAUAGGGGUGGAAAGAGCAAGGUAAUAAGGGCGGUGGGGAGUUUUUGACUUCCAAUCUCUUCUGUCAGGUAAUCUCCCUUAUUAGGAUUAAUCUAUUUUAUCUUCUUUCCUUCUUAUAAUUGUACUCCAGCUCCAAGUUCACUUUUUCAUCUUCUAGUUGUUUUCUUUAUCAUUUCUUCUAUAAUAUCAUCUUCAUGUUUUCUUGUUUUAGGUAAUCUUUAAAUAAAGUCCAGUUUGUAGUUCUAAUCUUCGUUCCAUGCUGUUUCUUCAAGUAAUGUGUUAUGCAAUCUAUAUUCAUUAUAUCGACCAUUUUGAUUACCCAUUCACCUGUCGUUGUGGUCUCUUUAUUCUUUCAUUUUAGAGUAUAUGUUAAUCUCGCUGCUGUGAUUAAGUAAUUGAAUAAAGUUUCUUGGUUUGUG